UGGGGAAUUUUGGACAAUGGGGGAAACCCUGAUCCAGCCAUCCCGCGUGUGCGAUGAAGGCCUUCGGGUUGUAAAGCACUUUUGGCAGGAAAGAAACGUCAUGGGUUAAUACCCCGUGAAACUGACGGUACCUGCAGAAUAAGCACCGGCUAACUACGUGCCAGCAGCCGCGGUAAUACGUAGGGUGCAAGCGUUAAUCGGAAUUACUGGGCGUAAAGCGUGCGCAGGCGGUUCGGAAAGAAAGAUGUGAAAUCCCAGAGCUCAACUUUGGAACUGCAUUUUUAACUACCGGGCUAGAGUGUGUCAGAGGGAGGUGGAAUUCCGCGUGUAGCAGUGAAAUGCGUAGAUAUGCGGAGGUACACCGAUGGCGAAGGCAGCCUCCUGGGAUAACACUGACGCUCAUGCACGAAAGCGUGGGGAGCAAACAGG
rnacentral:rRNA from 1 species